GUUUGUUGAGGUGGAUCCCUGCACAGCUGAUAUCCAAAUCCUCGCUCAAUUCGUUGUCUAUGAACAGAGAAAGAAUUCGAUGCUUUGGAAAGUCGUGAAAGCUGAAAUAAAGAAGGUGAAUUGGACCUUCUACCGUCUCCCUUUGGAGCUAAUUAAUGGUCUUCGUUAUGCUCCCUGGAGGCUCUACCGUUAGCUGGAUAACUGCUAUUAAAAAAGUGUAGAAUAAUAUCGACAGUCAUCUCAAAAAUAAAAAGGUAUAGAAUAAUAUUGACAGUAUUUCCCUUUGAUGCAAGGGGAAAUAGUAUUUUCUUUUAAAUUUAAAUUCCAACUAUGUAAUUAGAAUCUUAUAUAAAUAAUUACAUCUAUCUUAU
rnacentral:misc_RNA from 1 species